UCUCUCUUCAACAGUAAAAAUAAAAGACAGGCGACUGCUCAGAAGAUUGGAGAAGAUAAGUUAAAGACAGGGAAAGGAAUAGUAUCUGGAGGGACUGGAGGGACUGGAGGGACUGGAGGGACUGGAGGAUCUGGAGGGACUGGAGGGAAUUAUAGUCCAAAAGAUAGAUCCUAUUAUUUCAGCACUUACAGAAAUAGAAAAGAGUUUUCACCUGACCACUGGCGUACAAAGCUUGUAAGUGCUAAACAGAAGGAAAUCAACUCUAAUCCGUUCUGCCAACAAGUAUAUCAGCUGUACAAUUAUCCACCCAAGUAGAAAACAUCAUCCUGAAUUGAUAUAACGAUAUGUGUCUAGUAAAUCAAAACAAAUGUUUUGCCUAAUUCUAUUCUGCAGAAGAGAAAACAUCCGGUUUAAAUGUAUGUUCAAUGCUCGUAAAAUCAAAUUAAAAUUAAAGCUUGUAAUAUUAUCAAAAAUAUUAAAUUGUUGAUUGUCAAAAAUUGGUGAUAUAUGCUGAAUAUUCCUUCCAAAAAUCUGAUAUUUCAUGCCAGGUCAUAAAUUCUACAUGUUGUAUAUAAUAUAUAUAUAUGUUUAUAUAUUGUUGAGUAAGUAGGGUCAUUUUUUAAAAAUAAAUUAUCAAUUACUAAUUUUAACCCUAAACAGGCCAUCAGCACUCUUAAUUUUGACAAUAUCACCUUACACCUUGAAUUUUUUUAAAAACUAAUAUGCGAAAAGUAAUUUAAAGGAAUUUUUGUAACAUUUUUUUUGAUGCAUAGGCUAGGGUAAAGACGGUACAGGGUACAGAGACGCCCCCCCCCAUGAUAGAUUCGGACCCCCCAGCUUUUAUAGGGUUAAAUAAAAAUUAAGAUUUUAAAACUAAGUUAUUUUAUUAAUGUAUGCUAAAAAACAGUCUCAUCUGAAAAUUGUAAAUUCAGAUUUUUUUGACAUUAAUUUGUUUAAAAAUAUUUACAUUGUUUUUUUUAUGUAAUAGAUCAGAAAUUUUACAAAUUCCGC